GGAAAUUGCUGUUGACAUAUGAAAAUAAAUCAUCCCCCAUGAUUGACGGUAAAGUACCCUUUUUUUUUUGGAAGAUGCGUACGGACAAUAGGCGGCCGACUAGGCUCUUAAUACAUCAAAAGCGCUAGUGUCACCGUCGACAUUAUCUCUACAUUUAAUAUUGGAUUUGGGAAGUUCACAACAAACAAUCACUAUCCGUUUUCCCCGUCUAAUCUCACCGACACGCUUAAUUUUACAGCCGGAGCAGGGAGCUAUCCAUACACCAAACACACUUCCAAAGCUGAAAAAAUUUUCUCAUUAAAUGCUUCUGUGCCA
rnacentral:misc_RNA from 1 species